UGCCUCCUUUCCAAGCAAAAAAAGUCAUAGCAUAUUUAUUCUCCCCUUAAAUCCAUCCUCAAGUGAAAACUUUGGAAGGAAAAAUGGAUUUAGUAUCAUUUCAUAUGGAAGCAAUGAUCUUCAACUUCUGUGAUGCAUUUUCAGCUCUAUGGGAUCACUUUUCUGAGAGGUGCCUUUUGCUUUCCCAUGUCAAAUUUUUAUGAAGUAUGUUUGAUGAAAUCAGUGACAUUGGUUAUAUUCAAGUGACAGGUGACCAUAAGUAAUCUGUGUAUGUGUUGCUCACAUUGUGAUCCUCCAUUUGGGA
rnacentral:lncRNA from 1 species